rnacentral:misc_RNA from 1 species
GGAUGUUGUACGUGAACCAAUUGGUAGAGUAUUGAAGCUUGAUUCCAUACAUGGUGCCAAGCUAUGGAAAGGCAUCGACGUGCUCAUCUUUAAUACUUGGCACUGGUGGAACCGUAGAGGACCUACUCAACCAUGGGAUUAUAUUCAAGUAGGAAAUGAGAUUAAAAUGGACAUGGAUCGUAUGCUUGCCUUCAAGGAGGCACUCACAACUUGGGCUGCCUGGGUCGAUGCAAAUAUUGAUCCUACUAAAACUCUGGUUUUCUUCCAGGGA